rnacentral:rRNA from 1 species
GACGAACGCUGGCGGCGUGCUUAACACAUGCAAGUCGAACGGAAAGGCCCUGCUUUUGUGGGGUGCUCGAGUGGCGAACGGGUGAGUAACACGUGAGUAACCUGCCCUUGACUUUGGGAUAACUUCAGGAAACUGGGGCUAAUACCGGAUAGGAGCUCCUGCUGCAUGGUGGGGGUUGGAAAGUUUCGGCGGUUGGGGAUGGACUCGCGGCUUAGCAGCUUGUUGGUGGGGUAGUGGCUUACCAAGGCUGUGACGGGUAGCCGGCCUGAGAGGGGGACUGGGAACACGGGAAGUGGGACAUGGGCCAGAGGCCGAAGGGAGGGAGCAGUGGGGAACAGUGGACAGUGGGCGCAAGCCUGAGCCAGCCAUACCGCGUGGGUGAAGAAGGCCUUCGGGUUGUAAAGGAGGUUGGUGGGGAAAGAAAAGCAGCAGGGUAAUACCCCGCUGGUCUGACGGUAACCAAAGAAUAAGCACCGGCUAACUUCGUG